CUACAAGGGUUUGCUCAAAGAAAAGUUACUUAAAGGAUAUACCAGGAAACGGCGGAUUGCUGUCAAGAAAUUGGAUUCUGACAGCAAGCAAGGUCUUCGACAGUGGCAGGUGCCUUCUUGAGUGUCUUCAAAGGUAUUGGAAAAGCAUUGAAAUGUCGCUGAACCGGAUGUUCCAAAACGAUGUUUCCAUGGCUUUUUCAAUGCCACUAGUACAAUUUAUCUUUCAUAGUUGAUCUUUUAGGGCAUCAAUCUUCUGUCGGCCAAACAUGAAAGUUUUGUUUCAAAUUGUGAGGUUAGGUUAGAUAUAUACGUCUCGUCUGAAAUGAAAUUUUUCUUUCUGUUCAUUAUACUCCUCCGCGGAUGAAAUCAAAAUUGUUUCCUUA